GCCUGGCUGGCUCAGUCGGUUGAGCGUCUGACUUCGGCUCAGGUCAUGAUCUCGCGGUUUGUGGGUUCGAGCCCCGUGUCGGGCU
rnacentral:tRNA from 1 species